rnacentral:rRNA from 1 species
CCUACGGGUGGCAGCAGUGAGGAAUAUUGGUCAAUGGGCGCAAGCCUGAACCAGCCAAGUCGCGUGAGGGCUGACGGUCCUAUGGAUUGUAAACCUCUUUUGUCGGGGAGCAAGGCCCGCCACGUGUGGCGGGAAGGAGAGUACCCGAAGAAAAAGCAUCGGCUAACUCCGUGCCAGCAGCCGCGGUAAUACGGAGGAUGCGAGCGUUAUCCGGAUUUAUUGGGUUUAAAGGGUGCGUAGGCGGACAGUCAGGUCCGCGGUAAAAAUGCGGUGCUCACCGCCGUACAGCCGUUGAAACUGGCAGUCUUGAGUGGGCGAGAAGUAUGCGGAAUGCGUGGUGUAGCGGUGAAAUGCGUAGAUAUCGAGAGGAACACUCGUGGCGAAGGCGGGUUCCUGGACAUUAACUGACGCUGAGGCACGAAGGCCAGGGGAGCGAAAGGGAUUAGAUACCCCAGUAGUC